UACGUAGGGUGCGAGCGUUGUCCGGAAUUAUUGGGCGUAAAGAGCUUGUAGGCGGUUUGUCGCGUCUGCCGUGAAAGUCCGGGGCUCAACCCCGGAUCUGCGGUGGGUACGGGCAGACUAGAGUGAUGUAGGGGAGACUGGAAUUCCUGGUGUAGCGGUGAAAUGCGCAGAUAUCAGGAGGAACACCGAUGGCGAAGGCAGGUCUCUGGGCAUUAACUGACGCUGAGGAGCGAAAGCAUGGGGAGUGAACAGG
rnacentral:rRNA from 1 species